AUUUCAGAGCCAACAAGGAGGUAUUACUGAGCGCCACCUGGCUGCAGGUCCCCAAGACAGGCCAGCUGCAAAUGGGCCCACCUGGCUCCAAGGGGAGAGACGAAGUAAGGUGGCUGAGACGUGACCUGGAACUCAGCCAUCCUGCAGCCAGGCCGGACCCCAAGGGACAGUGAGCCUCACUCCAUUUCCCAGCAAGCCUCCUGCCGGCUCUGCGGAUGUGUCCCUGGACAGGACGGGCCCUGGCUGUGACAGAAAAUGACACUGACCCGUUCCCAGCCUGCCUGCGCUCCCUAACAGCCAAGUCCAGCGGAGAAGUGGCCUUCCCACGGCUCGGACCCUCUCACUGCACACCAGCCGGGGAAACGGAUAUCACGGGGGAACCAACCAGCUCCAGCCACGGGUGAAAAUCCGCGUGCAGUCAGGCAAGAGGUGCCGCAGGGGACAUGGGCGCUCGAGGUGCCGCAGGGGACAUGGGCGCUCGAGGCCCAGGCACCACCGGGGCCGCCCUCGCCCUCUCCCGCCCCCUGCUGGCUGAGUGUCGUCAGGCUUCUAUCCCGCUGGGCCUCAGGUGGGGGUCAUGCUGGGCAUCCUCGUGGACCUGGUGGCCGGAGGGGUGGGCUCCAGGCCCGGACUGCCCAGGGCCUCCUGCUCCCUCAGCCUCAGGCCUGGCUGCCUCUGGGUGAGCAGUGAGCACCUCUGGAUCAGAACGAAGCCCUCUGCUGCAGAAGAGGAGGGGCCUGAACCAGGAGGGAACAAGGGUGGAGGUGUACUCGGGAAGGCCGCACACCACGGCGAGGACUCUGUUUCCUGCAGCCUCAUGGCAAGAGGCCAGCGUAGUCACUUCUGGCCGCUCCCCAGCCCGAGUCUGGGGCUGGCCCAACACCGUUACCUGCUGCUGGGCGAAGAAGUCCUUGACCAGGGAGCCCAUGACCUGCUGCGGGGACCGGGCGGUGCUGAUGUGGGGGAGGAUGAAACUGCCGUGGGUCUUCUCGGCAUAGCAGAUCCAGCCUGAGGUGACAGGGGGCACACGGGGCUGGCGGGGGCGCACGGGGCUGGCGGGGGCGCACGGCGGCCCCCGCACCCACAGGCAGCAGCACGACAUUCUGGGGGCGGGCCCGCUCAUACAGGAGAUCAUGAUGACAUUAAAGAGUGCUCACUCCUGUUCUCCCCACCACCACGCGGAGCUCGGCGUGCAGGCGACACCGCCUAGGGACCUGAGGUGACUGCGCGUGGCUCCCACGGGAGGGCAGCCUCUUCUCCAGAAAAGGCCAUUUGUGCUGACAUUUCCAACCCGUCCCGCAAAACCGGCUUGCGUCUCCACCCCCCAUGCCCCCGCCUUGUCAUUCGUGUCCAUAUCACCUCACGUUUCAACUGCACUUGAACUUGACUCUCCCACCACCCGCACCAUGAGCACACCUGGGCAGGCGGAGGCCAGCAGGGGCAGCGCCUGUCUGCAGUCGGCCUGUCCUCGGAAUCGCCGCACAAACUCUCGCUGGCUCUCCAGGAGGCUGAAGUGCCUUGAGAAGGCGGUGUCGAAGACGAAGUGCACCCCUGGAAGGUGCAGGUGGGUGCCUGGUUAACCCCAUGCGGGACGCCCACGCGAGCACACGCCGGUGUGUGGACCACCAUGGUGCUGCCAGGGCACGUGUGUCGCACCUGCUUGCCGUGCCAAAGCCCCGGCCCCACCGUGGGGACCUCCUAAAGCCACGUUGCGCCAAAGCCCCGGCCCCACCGUGGGGACCUCCUAAAGCCACGUUGCGCCAAAGCCCCGGCCCCACCGUGGGGACCUCCUAAAGCCACGUUGCCUCGGCAUCCCCUGUGAACGCAGGCCUUGCUUUCCCACCCGAGGCAGGGCAGCCACCCAGCAGCUCAGUCCUCCACCCUCCCAGCUCUUCAGCGCGGCUGGUCCAGGGAAUUGCCACGUGCACUGCUCCCGGUGACCCUCCCUAGGGCACAGCUGGACACAGCCUGCUGGACUGGCCCCUCGGACCCUGAGUGUGCAGACCUGCCAUAGUGGCCACCCCUCACACACAGCAGGACUCCUGGAACACGCCAGCCAGCUCCAAGCCCAGCCAUUAGGACUGCUCAGUAAACCUGCCUGAUCGUGCCCUGGACCCAGCAGAGGCACCCGCGUGUGGGUCCCUCUCUCUCUGCCUGACUUGUCAUUCCUCCCUCGCGUAACCCGUGGUCGGAGGACUCGCUGUGCCCCACUUGCCCGUCAUCGUCAUCUCUAAGUAAAAAUCUUUGAACUUGC
rnacentral:sRNA from 1 species